GGGUGCACUGAUAGCCAGUGCAGGGUUCAGGUGAAGGUCGGGCCGCCUUCCG
rnacentral:ncRNA from 20 species